UUUUCAACAUAAAAUCGGCUAUUGUUGCAUGAAGAAAAAAAAAGGGGGAUGAUUUUUGCAACACUUUUCACUUCUCCAGCAGCUGGAUUUUAUUCAGUGCUAGUCACUUUCUAGCAAACUGUUCCCAGGAGAAUUUUUGGAAUUGUGAUGCUCAUGCUCUCUAUCCUUAUCAAAAGGUGGCAAGGCCAACCAAAGUUUAAAUCAAAACAGAAUCUGAUCAGUUUAUCCUAAAAGAGUAGAAGAAAAAAAGAAAAGAGAAAAGGCUGGGAAGAAGAAGAGGUAAGUAUAUAAAGAGAAGAAAAUUGGGGGUGGGUUUUGUAGGUGCUUAUUGAGGAAAUAGAAAAUCUUUUGUAUUAUCAAAAGUCAGUAGGAGAUACUGCUUCUUUAAGCCUUUUUUUUUUCUUUUAUGAAUCUUCAAUUUAUUGUCUGUGUUUCUAUGGAUAUAAUCAGUGAUAAUUUUUGUUUUAAAGGUGAAUAACAGAUAUUAAUGUUGCAGAUAUUUUUCUUCUUUUCUGGAGAAUUAAAAAUGAGCACAGCUCUAAGAAUUUAGAUAUUAAAUACACAUAACUCAUGGUUCUGACCACAGAGGGGAAAUUUUAUUCUGUCUUCAAAGGAAUACUUUUUUAUCCAGUAAGAUACAGAUGAUGAAAAAAGAAAAAAAAUAAUAAUAGCCUUUGAUUCUGGUGAAUUAAUAAGUGACAAUAUGUCCUACAAGUCAGAGGAUGACAAUAAAGUACAUCUGCUGUGACUCCUGAGUGGAUGGAGACACUUUGGUCCUCGGUAGCACUGUAUAGUUCAUUUUCUCUUUGUUCUAGUAUUAAGUGCUAAAAAUUAGCAACUGAAUGCUAUAUAACUUUGGAAUGGAAAACAGAAAAAAUGGACCAAUUUCUUUUGAGAGGAAAUACAUUUAAGUGCAUUGCACUAGCUAAAUGCUCAGUAGAACUGAGCUGGAAUCACUGAAUCAGAUCUCUCUUUGAAAGUGCAAUGAAGGUCAGCAUCAUAAUGAUGGGAAAUGCAGCUGAUUAUUCCCUUGUAUUUCACUUCUGGAACUUAGGGCUCUGUAUCCUAGAAAGGCUGAAAGAAAAAGUCAUUUGUAGAAUGACUCAUUGAAGAGUCACUUAGAUGUUUCAAGUACAUGUCACGUUCUGGUCUGUUCACAGGUUUUCAAAAUGGAAAGAAACUUUAAGAAACAGGAGGUUGAUUGUAAAGCCUCUGAUGGUGCAAAUGGAGUCAGUCCAAUCCUUAAGAGUCUCCCUGCCCUUAUUUUGAGUUGUAAAUAUUCACUACAAAAUGAAUCUUUCCAACAGCUCAGUUUUCUCAGUGGAAUUUUAUGGAGAGCAGGCUGUGUGUAUGUGUAAGGGCUGCUUCACACACUGCUGUGUGUGAAGCAGUCAGUUUUCUCCCACAUGAUUAGCACAGAUCUUAAUUACCCCAUUUUGUGUAAAUCUGGCAGAUGAGGUGGUUUAGUCCAUUGUGUAUGCAUCAGAAAAAUGUUGUUAGCUGGUCAAUUUUUUGAGUUCUAUUUUCGGUGUUAUUUUACAUAUUUUUACAGUGUUUUGCCUUUCAGAUGCUGUAGGAAGAGAUAUUGUACAUUGUAGGUAUCAAUACACUUGUAACUCAAAAUUCUGAUGAUUCCUAAUUGAGGGAGUUUAAAGCAUGCACCAUUUGCCUGCUUACUGUGAUUUUUAAUAAUUAUUGAAAAACUGAAUUGACUUUCAAUAGCCACAUUCUUCCUCCUUUCUAAGUACAUAUAUAUUCAUACAAUAUAUUUUUAGGCAUGACUACAUCUAGAUGUAUAUAAAUAAAUACAUGUAUUAAUUUUUUUAAGUGUAUAUGUUUAUUUAAUCUUUAUGCUAUUUUAUUCAGGAGUUCAAUAUAUAGUUCUCUGCAUUUCUCCUCUUUAACAGAUCAAAAGAGGAUCCACUAAGGUAAAAGUGGCCACGCAGGACCUACAAGGAGAUGAGGUGCAUUAAUGCUUCCAGGAAAUAUCAUGGAGAAUGGAAUUAAUGUAGAAGAAAAGCAUAAUUUUUCAAUUGUUUCAGUGAUGUAACAGCUGAUCUAACUAUCUGCAGAAAACCUGGGGUACAUGAAAGGCUCUGCCUCUGAGGGUCUUUGAAACCCAAAGAGACUUGGUGGUGAGCGUGUUACUGGCGAAGCAAGGAAACGCGCACAGAAGGAACUCUCGCGUGCACCUGCAGUUUCCAAAGAGAGCACGGCUUUGUGUUCCAAAGAGAACACGUGCUCUCCAAAGAGAACAAGCUGCUUGGGAAAACCAUCAGGUGAGAUCAUUGCAAGGCGAGGCCUAAGAAAAUUUUAUGGGGAGAUUUUACCGAACAGGUCAUGUACCUUGUAGCUGAGGAUACCUAGAACAGAGAUCCAAGAGUCACGACCCUUCCCCUUCAAUCUAAAUUGCUAGCAAUUAUUCUACUUUACUCUGAAUCAAUUUAUUUUUCUAAAAUUUAAUAUUUAAUGACUUUCAAUGCUAUUAAGUAAUUUUUCUAAUUCAAAUGCAGAAAGAGAUAUGUGAGAAAAUUUCCACUGUCAUCCAAAUAUAUCCUCUUUACUAUAGCACCAAGGAAGGGCAAGGAACAAGAGCUUUAUUACUUUUUGUUUCAUCUGAAUUGCUGUUAUUAUGAUUGGAUAUCUUCUAGCCAGGGCCAGAUAUUUUUGUGUUUACACUGUGAUAUUUUUGAUUGUUACCGAAGAGCAUUUUUGGCAUUUUUUACAGUGUGACAUCUAGUCUGACACUUCAGACCUUAUUUAUAAACAGCAAGAUUGUCUCUACAGUCCCAGGAAUAUUUUAUACUUGAAAGUACUCAGAUAUUUUUUCUUUUGGCCAUCUGUCUAGAUCUGCUUACUCGAGUCAAUGUAGCCAAGGUCAUCUUACAUUUCUUGUCUAAGGCUUGUCAAACUUAUUUUCAGCCUUGUCAAGAUCAGCCUUUGCUUUUUAUCUUUGUGCUAAGGGGACAUUUAGUGUAAGUGUGGUUCUGUUGGCAUUUCUUUUUCAGUCCCCUUUUUGACAUAUUGCUUUUUGUGCCAUUUAUUGCUCUGUGACCAUUCCUGGUUUAUUUUAAAACACAAACUAUUUUCUUUCUCUUCUUCGUUGUGUUUCUUACAACCUCCAAUGCAACCUUAAGCCCCUUUCAGCAAAGCAAAUAGUUACAGUAUUUGGUUUGCUGUUAUUGUUUCAUAUGAACUGAACUUAGAAAUCUGAUCAGAGUACCUUGAGAACCAAAUUACAUAGCUCUGGCUCAGAAGGUGGGAGCAGUUCUCAAAUAUCUCUGUUAAAUAUGCUUGUUUAAUCUCUGAUAAUUCUUGUAUUUUUGAACAACAAUAAAAAGUCACUAAGAAAAAAAUACUGUACUCUUAAGCAUCAUGGUUAGGCUAUUUAAAAAUGCUCUCCAAAGAUGAGUUUUUGCAUCAUGAUGUAAACAUGUAUAAUUUGUCUGAUUCACAACAGUCAUGCUUGUAUUAUGCUAUUUGUGCUCAUUGCCUACAGAAAAACUAAUCAAAGCUUAUCUAUAGUGCUGUGGAAGUGACUUACUGCAAUUUUUUUCUCUCGAUCUCUAGAUUCAAAAUAAGGUUGAGCCCAGGUGCCGUGUAGAACUACAGUGACUAGCACAGAGACUUGUGCAGUGCUUGGCUGCUCCUUGGGUAAUGAUUAAGGAAACCUGCUGGUUGCAGUAGUUCAGGCCAUGCAACAAGUGACAAAGCAGAGAGGGUUUUUUUUCCUCCUUGCUUUGGGGAGUUUUUCAGGAACAUCUUCUAGGAUGCUAUUUCACCCUGAAACUUUCGAUUGGUGUGUUCAACUGAAAAGUACAGCAUUUUGUACAGCCUAUUAACCCCCUUGUUACAGAUUUCAAUAAAGAGUUUUGCCCUUGUUGACACAGA